rfam:Burkholderia vietnamiensis G4 chromosome 2, complete sequence.
CCGUUCGUCUUUGGGGAGUAGCCUGCUUUCCGCUCUGGAAAGCGAACGCGUCAACAUACUCGGCUUGCGGCCGUGGCGCGUUCGGCCGAAUCGGCUUGGCGAGACCAUCGACGCAUCGCGCCGUUCCGGGUCGGAC